UAUCGGAACGUGCCCAGUCGUGGGGGAUAACGUAGUGAAAAUUACGCUAAUACCGCAUACGAUCUAAGGAUGAAAGCGGGGGAUCGCAAGACCUCGCGCGAUUGGAGCGGCCGAUAUCAGAUUAGGUAGUUGGUGAGGUAAAGGCUCACCAAGCCAACGAUCUGUAGCUGGUCUGAGAGGACGACCAGCCACACUGGAACUGAGACACGGUCCAGACUCCUACGGGAGGCAGCAGUGGGGAAUUUUGGACAAUGGACGCAAGUCUGAUCCAGCCAUUCCGCGUGCAGGACGAAGGCCUUCGGGUUGUAAACUGCUUUUGUACAGAACGAAAAGGUUUCUAUUAAUACUAGGAGCUCAUGACGGUACUGUAAGAAUAAGCACCGGCUAACUACGUGCCAGCAGCCGCGGUAAUACGUAGGGUGCAAGCGUUAAUCGGAAUUACUGGGCGUAAAGCGUGCGCAGGCGGUUAUGUAAGACAGGCGUGAAAUCCCCGGGCUUAACCUGGGAAUUGCGCUUGUGACUGCAUAGCUAGAGUAUGUCAGAGGGGGGUAGAAUUCCGCGUGUAGCAGUGAAAUGCGUAGAUAUGCGGAGGAACACCGAUGGCGAAGGCAAUCCCCUGGACCUGUACUGACGCUCAUGCACGAAAGCGUGGGGGAGCAAACAGGAUUAGAUACCCUGGUAGUCCACGCCCUAAACGAUGUCAACUGGUUGUUGGGUCUUUACUGACUCAGUAACGUAGCUAACGCGUGAAGUUGACCGCCUGGGGAGUACGGCCGCAAGGUUGAAACUCAAAGGAAUUG
rnacentral:rRNA from 1 species